GGUUAAGCGACUAAGCGUACACGGUGGAUGCCCUGGCAGUCAGAGGCGAUGAAGGACGUGCUAAUCUGCGAUAAGCGUCGGUAAGGUGAUAUGAACCGUUAUAACCGGCGAUUUCCGAAUGGGGAAACCCAGUGUGAUUCGUCACACUAUCAUUACGUGAAUACAUAGCGUAAUGAAGCGAACCGGGGGAACUGAAACAUCUAAGUACCCCGAGGAAAAGAAAUCAACCGAGAUUCCCCCAGUAGCGGCGAGCGAACGGGGAGCAGCCCAGAGUCUGAAUCAGCUUGUGUGUUAGUGGAACGGUCUGGAAAGUCCGACGGUACAGGGUGAUAGUCCCGUACACCAAAAUGCACAGGUUGUGAACUCGAAGAGUAGGGCGGGACACGUGGUAUCCUGUCUGAAUAUGGGGGGACCAUCCUCCAAGGCUAAAUACUCCUGACUGACCGAUAGUGAACCAGUACCGUGAGGGAAAGGCGAAAAGAACCCCGGCGAGGGGAGUGAAAAAGAACCUGAAACCGUGUACGUACAAGCAGUGGGAGCA
rnacentral:rRNA from 1 species